GGAGGUGCUCUUAAGUGUUCUUAC
rnacentral:siRNA from 1 species